rnacentral:lncRNA from 1 species
AAGAAAAAGAAUUUGUAUAACCAAUAGGCAAGAUUACAAAGAAUUGAAUGUGAAUAAGUUGGAAAGGAACAAUGCUGGGGAUCUGUGUUGAGUAUCGUCCUGGCUAACCUACAGGGAUCUACAGUUCACCUACAUAAGCUGCCAAUCAUGUUCUGUUGCAGCACAGUUUUUCUGAGUUCAUGACAUGCAUCUGAUCUCAUUCUCACUGCUUACGUCCAGGAACCUCGCACUCGCAGCUGCUGAUAGAGCAGUCGUGCGGCUCAUUACUCCUGUUCCUGGGAGAUGAUUCUCGCGUUAGCAUCAUGACUACUGAUCAAGCUCAGAACCUUGUUUGCGUCGAAGUCAUUGGAAGGCGGAUAGAAUGAAACGGUGAUAAUACUGCCUCGCACUUUAAAAUCUGCAUGGCAAAAAAAGUGACACAAUCAGCAUGGAAGUUUGUGUUGCCUCAAAUCAGCCAGAUAAGUCGAUGCGCAAUCGCUUUGUGAAGUGACGCGCCCAUAUCUGGAAUAUCCUGCAGGAGCUGCUCUUCGAUAGUCCUGACAUGUUCAGUGUUGCUGAGGAGGAUACUCAUGGUCAGCCUGCCGGGCAGCUGUGUCCAAUCCACUUGGUUUUUCUUGGAGACAAGAGCGAAUACCUGCAAACAGACCUCAUGAUAAGCAAUCGCAAGCCAAGAAGAAGGAUCAGUGGCAGGCGAAGCUGGAGCAAUGGAAAGAAGCGAGGGCAGGCUUAUCAAUCCCAUCGCCCCCUUAAAACAACGACAGUUCUCGUACAGAUCAUCAGACUCGGGUGGAACAUCGAGUCACAAUUCCACAUGCAAUUUCACAUCAGACUUGCCUGACGACCACGAAAAACUCAGUUUCAGUACCUCAUUGAGAUCAGCCAUGACGGCGGUACAAUACCAGCCGAACGUCGGCGCAAGCGCAAUCUAGCCAAGUGAGACGCACCCAACUCAGUAGGCGAACUCAACACACCGAAUCACGCCGGAGCAGCGAGUGGCCAACCCGAUAGAUCGUUCGCAGGUUGCAAAAAGUGUUUUGUGUGCGUUGGGAAUGUCGAAACGGGGGAGCAACAAAGGGCAGCGCAGGGGUAGUGAGCAUUUGGAAAUGGAGAUUGGCUCCCCUGGAAUGGGACUACAAAUAGGAAUCGUCACGACAGACAAAAAUUGGGCAAUUGCCAACAGUCCACGACGAGAGGACUACGAGACCCUGAGUUGACUGGCGCGUUGCCGCACGAGCUCCGUGUCGGUACGUCGACGAUGACGACAUCCGUCGCAAUUUUCCUCAUCCAUUUUGAUUGUCUCUUUUCAUUCGUCCAUCUCCACGUGGCUUCACACGUCACAUUAUACAUUGUUAUUUUUCUUAUAGUUAUUUUUUAUUUUUAGUUCGUACUGUGACCCACUGUUUAUAUAAUUUCAUUGUGUUUUUUAAUGCUUUCUCUAUUAAUAGUUUUUUUUUGGAUUUACCUCUCAUUGUUCAUUUGUAAAAGUGUAGUUUUUUAUUCCUCCUGUUUAUCCUUCCAAAUUCCACCACUGUAUUUGAUAUUCCACCACAACUCUCCAUCCACCACAUGUCAUUCACACCUUUUUCUCAAUGCUUAAUAAAAUAUUACAUUUUUUUACAAUUUUUUUAUUUAGCUCUAGUGUUUUAUUUUUUUAUUUUUUAUAAGAAUGUUUUUAAUGAAAAAUAAUUUUUUUCUAUAUAUAUAUAUUUAAAAAUAUUCAUAUUUGAAAUAUUAAAAAAACAAUAUUUGACUAGAAUAAAAACUAAAAAAAAUAAAUAAAUAAAUAUGUCAAACUCUGGUGAAUUGUGGUGGUAAUAGCAAAACUGUGGACAUUGGAAAUACCUUUAAUAUAUCUACAUAUAUUAUAGACUAUUUCUCUUAGUUUUAUUGCAUUAUUUUUUCUUAUACAAUUUUAUUUUCAAUAUUCUUCACUCUUUUCUUAGAAGCCUUUUAUUGAAAUUUUAUAUUGUAUUUUAAGACUGUGACUGAUGAUUUAAUAUUUUUUCUCUUCAUCUUUUUAACCCUGAAGGAUCAUGUUGUGUAUAGCAGCAAUUCAUUUCAUUCAUCUGAGUAAGUUACUUAUUUUACUUCUAAUUCAUUAAUAAGAAUUUGUAGCUUUUUACACAAUUGAAGAGCACUCGUUUUUAAACUUGUCUGUUAAAAUUAAUUUUGUCUUCUGUGUAAAAUGGAAUAUAAAAUAUGUAGUAAUAUAAAGUAAUGCAAAGUAAUGUUAAUCUAUGCAUGAUGGUGUACUUCUGACUCUCAAUUAUAAGCAUUAAUCUAUAUUUUGUAAUUUCCUUGGUACUGCUAACUACAUCUUGUGUAUUACCAAACAAAAAAAGUAUUAGUACAUUGGUUGAAGUUAAUAGUCGUAAAAUAAUGAACUAUUAUUAAUUAAGCAUAUGCAGAUUACAUUUCUAAACCCAAAAAAUUGUAAAAGGAUUUAGAAAAAAAUGUAAAAAAUACUGAACAAGUAAAAAAAAAAUAUGGAUAAAUAUAACUCAAAAUAAAAUAAUUUUUAUGUAAUAAUAAAAUAAGAAUAAAAAAAACUAAAUCUAAAUAUUCAUUUUCUUAGUAGAUGGGAUAGAAUGUACAUAACAACGAAAAUAUUAAUAUACUUAUUAAACUAAUCAAUAGGAUAAUUAUAUAUAAAUCGAAAUAAAUAAAUAAAUAAAUAUUCAAGAAUUUAUCAAAUUAUCCUAAAGGUAAAAUUUAUAUCUAUAAAUUAUUUAGGUCAUAAUAUUAGAUAAUUUAAUAAAUAUACAUACUAUACAUUGAAUAACAUAAUAUUCAUAUACAAAGAUCUUUUUUGAUAUGCAUUUGAUAUGUUUUUUUUAUCAAACAUGAUUCUUUCUACAAUUUAAAAACCAAAUUAACUUAAGUCAUUAUUUCAAGUAUAAUUUUCUUAAAGCAUAUUAAAACUAAACACAUAAAUUAUUUUUAAUAUACAUAAAGCUGAGUAAUGUCUAUUAUUAUUUUAAAGGUCUGAUUAUUUUGUUUAAUUUUAUUUUUACCUCUUUGCAAUAAAUAUAUGGUGUAUAUAUUAUUAAUUAUAAAUAUAAGGAUUAUUUAAAUUUUUAACCUUUAUUAAGGUUAAUAUUUAAGUUUAUAAUUAUAUAUGUAUAUAUAUAUAUAGUGCAUGUCUAUAUAAAAAUAUGUAAAACAAAGCCUUAAAAACAAAUUUUGUAUGCAUGCAUGUAUAUGUAUAUUUAUAAAAAAAAUUAACAUUAUAUCUUGAAUUGAUAUCACUACACUUCACAUGACUUCUUUGUAGGCAACUAGCUAAAAGUAAACCCCUUCCUUUUGCAUAUUUUUUUCCUUUCUUUGUUUUAAGAAAGGAUGGUGGUUGAGAGAGAGACAAUGAAUAUUUUAUGAAUAAAUAGGUCUUAAGAUGAUUUUUUAAAUAAAUAACAUUAGCCUCAAAAACUAUUUAAUUCAAUUUUUAAAUUUUUUAUUAGACUACCAAAAAAAAUUAAAAAUUAUUUUUCAAUUUUAUCCAUUUUUGGAUCAAUAUUGGGAUUAAAUAUUUGACUGCCAAAUGCGUCUUGUGCAUAGAAACACGCUUUUUUACUCAAUUUAUGUUGUGCGGAGGUCACUUGGGAUGUAGCAUUAACAAUUCUCUAUUCUUUCCGAAAUAUAUAUAAAUAUAUAUAUCUAUUUAUAUAUCAUGUGAAUGGAGCACUCCUGUUCAGUACACAGGACAGAGUUGUCUUACGUGCAUGAUCAAAAAUGGACCAAAUGUAUGGAUCAAUAAUUCGUCGUAUAUAUAUAUAUAUACAAAUAACGUGUGUAUAAAUUUUCAUAUUUGUACGAGUAUGAGGUACGAGUGGACCUGAUUCAGGAAAGUCUGUCGCAGGAAAAACAGGACUUUCAUGCUCAACGUAAUUGUACUCAAUCACUCAUGCUCUCACUGUUGCAGUCAACACGCCCGAUGUUGCCGUAAAGCUGUUCCUGAGAUAUCUCUAUCGCUAUGGACACUGCUGCUCCCACCACCCGAAUUACAUGCAAACUCUUACAUCUGUCUCCCCGAUUUCAUGUUCUACUGUCGAUUUGAAUAUUUGCUCGUUCUUGGACAGUUGUGUGAUGCCAAGUGUCGGCAUUUCCUCAUGAGUUUCUAGUCGAAAGCAGUGGUCAAAUUUACCUUGUCACGACAUCUACCCAGUUGGAGCUGGCGACAAAACCAUCUCCGAGGUUCCGACUCGCAUGGAGUUGUCGGCACGCUGGCGUACCGAAGUCGGUGCAGCAGACGUCGAUUUGCAGCACGGAAAUUCGAAGCGUCGACUCGACGGAGAGUCUGUUCAGAGGGAGGGACCAACAACUGCGUGGCUGCAGCUGGAUCCCUGUGGCCCCUUCCUUGCUCGCGACGCCGCAGGUUCCUUUGGCUCGCGGUUGCGUUUCGCGGAGAGCUCAUACCCUGUCGAAAGAUCUAUUGCAGUAGAGUCAAGUAGUUUCGGCCUUUUUACGUUGUCGACGACGUCGCAGCAGUCAAUGUAACGGGCGUGGACCUUGCCGACAGUCAGCACGGUCCCGACGUCGUCGUCGUAAAUGUUUGACUCCUAGAUUGCAACAUCGACAUUCUUAAUUGCUCUGUAUAUCAAAAAACAUGCGAUGCGUUUGUUGAUGCUGCGUUCACAUACAUUUAUGCAGAUAUGAAAUAAUGUAUAUGUAUGUAUAUAUAUAUAUAUAUAUAUACUUGUGUGUGUGUGAUAUAUAACUUUGAAGCACACCAUGAUUUAAUAUUACAGCUUUACUCCAUAUAAAUAUUAUUAUCCUGCAACCACCACCGUAGACUUUCAAUCCAAAGCCACAAUAAAAUAUUUCACUGAAGCGAAGGUGCAUCCAUUUUCAACGACGUCAGUCUCCUCUGAAUUUCAACAGUCUUCAACAACCAAAAAAAAUUAUUUAAAAAAAAUAAAGAUGAAACAUAUGAAUUCAUCAGUCAAAGUCUUAAAAUGUGAUAUACGGUUCUAUUAAAAGUCAUUUUAGAAAAGAGUUCAGACUAUUGAGAAAAAAAAAUUGUCCCAGAAAAACUACUACAAUAAAACGACCAGGUAAAGUCCAUAAUAUAUAUAGAUACAUCAAUAGGAGAAGUGAAAAAUGAGAGGAAUAAUCAACAAAUUCAUUAUGAGAAUAGAGAAAUCACGAAAACACAAUAAAACUAGACAACAGUGACCACAGUAAGAACCAAAAAUAGAAGAGAGAAGAAUGAAAAAAUAACAGUAAUGAAUAAUAAAGAAAUAAAGAAGCAAGUAAUCAAAUCCUACAAUUCCAUACAAUUAGUCAAUCUAGAGAAUGAACAACGAAUAAGACUAAUAACGAUGAUAACUGAAGGGGGUCUUUUGGACCAGAACAGAAUGAAAAAAGAGUUUGAAUUGGAUCAUGUGGGUCGAAUGCAGAAUGUGACGUGGACAAAUGGAUUAAAAAAUACACGACGAAAUGGAUGAGGAAGGAUUCGAACAGACGUCAUCGCUGUGCCGACAUCGUUGCAAGCAACUCGCUCGGCUACGCGCUAGCAAGUCGGGACAGACACAGUCGGUCUGCCUCGUCGCGGAGUGGACGUCAUGGGGCCCAAAUUCGUCUGCGGGGGCAACUCCUAUUUAGAAUUACACUCAACGGAAGCCGAUCACAAUUCAAUCCCACUAUCCCUCCUCGCGCUGCAUUUGUUGUUCAAGCGCUCUGCGUCCCGACUUCGACUGCGCCAUUCCUUCCCAAAAGACAACAAUUUUCGCAGUCCGUGGACGAUCUGCUUAUCGCACCGCUUGCUAGUUUGCUCAUUGCUCCAGCGUAGACCAGAGUGUUGAGUUCGGUUAUUGAGUUGGGAGCGUCUCCCUUGCUAGUUUGCGUGUGAGCCUGCUUGUUGCCGACAGUGUACCGACGUCAUGACGAUGGAUCUGCCUGAGGUACUAAUUCAUGAGCUUUUGGUGGUUUUAAUGCGAGUCUGAUGUUCGCCAAUAGAAUUGUGACUCGAUGUUCCACCCGAGUCUGAUGUUCUGUACGAGAACUGUCGUUAUUACAAGGAGGCAGUGGGAUUGAUUGGCCUGUCCUUGCUACUUUCCAUUGUUCCAGCUUCGCCUCCUGCUGAUCCUUCAUUUUGGUUCAUUGUUGCUCAUCAUGAUGUCUUUUUGCAGUUCUUCGCUCUUCCCUCCAAGAUGAAGCAAGAGAAUUGGAGGACAGAGCUUCCCGGCAUGCUGACCGUGAGAAUCCUCCUCAGCAACGCUGUGCAUGUCAAUCCCAUCCAAGAGCUUCUAUGGAACCAUAUUCAAGAUAUGAGUGAGUCACUUCACAAAGCGAUUGCGCAUCGACUUAUCUGGCUGAUUUGAGGCAACACAAACUUCCAUGCUGAUUGUGUCACGUUUUUGCCAUGCAGAUUUUAAAGUGCGAGGCAGUAUCAUCACCGUUUCAUUCUAUCCGCCUUCCAAUGACUUCGACGCAAACAAGGUUCUGAGCUUGAUCAGUAGUCAUGAUGCUAACGCGAGAAUCAUCUCCCAGGAACAGGAGUAAUGAGCCGCACGAUUGCUCUAUCCGCAGCUGCGAGUGCGAGGUUCCUGGACGUAAGCAGUGAGAAUGAGAUCAGAUGCAUGUCAUGAACUCAGAAAAACUGUGCUGCAACAGAACAUGAUUGGCAGCUUAUGUAGGUGAACUGUAGAUCCCUGUAGGUUAGCCAGGACGAUACUCAACACAGAUCCCCAGCAUUGUUCCUUUCCAACUUAUUCACAUUCAAUUCUUUGUAAUCUUGCCUAUUGGUUAUACAAAUUCUUUUUCUUACAUCCAUUUGUGAGGUCGCU